GUGUCAGCCGCCGCGGUAAUACAGAGGGUGCAAGCGUUGCUCGGAAUCAUUGGGCGUAAAGGGCAAGUAGGUGGUCUCAUUUGUCUGAUGUGAAAGCCUUGAGCUUAACUCAAGAAGUGCGUCAGAAACGGUGAGACUCGAGUUCUGGAGAGGGUCGUGGAAUUCCCGGUGUAGCGGUGAAAUGCGUAGAGAUCGGGAGGAACACCAGAGGCGAAGGCGGCGACCUGGACAGAUACUGACACUCAACUGCGAAAGCGUGGGGAGCAAACAGGAUUAGAAACCCUGGUAGUCC
rnacentral:rRNA from 1 species